rnacentral:rRNA from 1 species
GACGAACGCUGGCGGCGUGCUUAACACAUGCAAGUCGAACGGAAAGGCCCUUCGUUGUACUCGAGCGGGGAACGGGUGCGUGAGAGGUGGACGAUCUGCCCCGCACCUUGGCAUAAGGCUGGGAUACUGGGACUAAUGCCGAAACGGACCACGCGCUUCUGCGGCAGUGGUGUCAAGCUUUAGCGGCGGGGGUUGGGCGCGCGGUCUAUGAGUUUGUGGGUGGGGUAGUGGUUUACCAAGGCCAAGACGGGUAGCCGGCCUGAGAGGGUGAGCGGCCACAUUGGGACUGAGAUACGGCCCAGACUCCUACGGGAGGCAGCAGUGGGGAAUAUUGCACAAUGGGCGGAAGCCUGAUGCAGCGACGCCGCGUGAGGGAUGACGGCCUUCGGGUCGUAAACCUCUUUCGAUAGUGACGAAGCGAGAGUGACGGUACCUAGUGAAGAAGCACCGGCUAACUACGUG